rnacentral:rRNA from 1 species
UACAGAGGUGGCAAGCGUUGUUCGGAAUUACUGGGCGUAAAGGGCGCGUAGGCGGCCAUCUAAGUCAGACGUGAAAUCCCCCGGCUUAACCUGGGAACUGCGUCUGAUACUGGAAGGCUUGAGUAUGGGAGAGGGAUGUAGAAUUCCAGGUGUAGCGGUGGAAUGCGUAGAGAUCCGGAAGAACACCGGAGGCGAAGGCGGCUUGCUGGGCUUGGUCUGACGCUGAGGCGCGAAAGCGUGGGGAGCGAACAGG